GUACAGCUGACGAGUCCCAAAUAGGACGAUACGCGCGUCCUAGAU
rfam:Schistosoma mansoni strain Puerto Rico chromosome 6, complete genome